rnacentral:rRNA from 1 species
AGAGUUUGAUCCUGGAUCACAACGAACGUUGUCAGCCUGCAUUAGGCAUGCGACUUGAUCGUACCCAGCAAUGGGCAUCAGCGUAAGGGGCAUUAAUGCAUGGGUAUCUACCCGGGGAUCGGGCAUAGCCUGUAAAUAUACAGGGUAAUUCCCUAUGAUGUCACAAGACCAAAGCUCCUGCGUCCCUGGAGGAGCCCAUGUGGUAUUAACUAGUUGGUGGGGUAACGGCCCACCAAUGUGAAGAUGCCUAUCGGGUGUGAGAGCAUGACCCGCGCCACUGGCACUGAGACACUGGCCACACACCUACCGUUGGCUGCAUUCGAGGAUCUCCGGCCAUGGGCGCAAGCCUGACCGAGCGAGGCCGCGUGAGCGAUGAAUGCCUUCGGGUUGUAAAGCCCUGUCGAGACGCACAAAAGCGAAAGCUUGAUCUAUCUCUGGAGGAAGCACGGGCUAACUUCGUGCCAUCAACCUCGCUAAAACGAACCGUGCAAACGUUGUUCGGAAUCACUGGGCUUAAAUGGCGCGUAUGCGGGCUAUCAACUCCGGCGUGAAAUCCUCCACCUCAACUGUAUAACUGCCUCGGAUACUGAUGGUCUCUCAGGGGGAUAAGAGCACACUGAACUGUGUGUGGAGCGGUGAAAUGCGUUGAUAUCCAUAGGAACUCAGGUGGUGAAAGCGGUGUGCUGGAUCCGUUCUGAUGGUGAGGCGCGAAAGCCAGGGGAGCAAAUGGGAUUAGAUACUCCGGUAGUCCUGGCCCUUAACGUUGGGUAUUAGGUAGCAGACUUGACAUGGGUUUACUUGUGAAGCAAAAGUUCUAAGUACUUCGCCUGGGGAGUAUGGUCGCAAGGCUGAUAUUCAAAGGAAUUGACGGGGGGUCACGCAAGCGGUGGAGCAUGUGGGUUAAUUGGAGGCAACGUGAAGAACCUUACCUGGGUUUGACAUGUUUGAAAGAGUCAGGAAGUAGAACCCGGAAACGGGAUCGAACGGUAUCCAAUCCGGACCCGGACACAGGUGGGGCAUGGCUGUCGUCAGCUGGUGUCGUGUGAUGUGGGGUUAAGUCCCAUAACGAGCGAAACCUUUACCCUCAGUUGGUAAUUAUAGGUCUGUGGGGGGACCGCCGGUGUUAAACCGGAGGAAGGUGGGGAUGAUGUCAAGUCGUCAUGGCUUUUAUGCCCAGGGCGGCACAUCGUGCUACAAUGGCGUGAACAAAGGGAUGCCAACGCGCGAGCGGGAGCGAACCCCAAAAAUCACGCCCCAGGUCAGAUCGGAGGUUGCAACUCACCUCCGUGAAGUCGGAAUCGCUAGUAAUUGCGGGUCAGCAACACCGCGGUGAAUGUGUUCGUGAGCCUUGUACACACCGCCCGUCAAGCCACGAAAGGAAGGGGCGCCCGAAGUCACCU